GUCCAAACAGAGAGAUCCUCCAAACUUCAGUAAUGAACCUGGACCGUCAGACACAAAAGGUCAGGACCACAGACUGAGAGCAGAGUGUCCAGGAUCCAGCUGUCUGUCUAUGAAGAAUGACAGGUCCAAACAGUUUAAUCCUCUAGACUUGAGUCAUGAACCUGGACCCUCAGACACAAAAUUUUCAGCAGAUAUUGGUCUGCAGGAGGUUUUAGAUGAACAUAAGAUCAGUCUGAGGA